rnacentral:rRNA from 1 species
UACGUAGGGUGCGAGCGUUGUCCGGAUUAUUGGGCGUAAAGAGCUCGUAGGCGGUUUGUCGCGUCGGCCGUGAAAUCUCCACGCUUAACGUGGAGCGUGCGGUCGAUACGGGCAGACUUGAGUUCGGUAGGGGAGACUGGAAUUCCUGGUGUAGCGGUGAAAUGCGCAGAUAUCAGGAGGAACACCGGUGGCGAAGGCGGGUCUCUGGGCCGAUACUGACGCUGGAGGAGCGAAAGCGUGGGGAGCGAACAGG